GUGAAUUACCGACUGACCAAUGAUGUAUCGACUCAACUACUCAAGCUACCUAGCAAUAACAAGAUCGACCAGACAUCGACACUAUCGGACAACAGACAUACAGCUUCCGGUACUUAACUUAGUCUGUCCGACAGAAUUUGUAGAAACAAGGACAGGAUUUUUAACUUAAAUCUAACCAUAGUUAAUAGAGGGGACAGAGCAGCUCGAUGGAGUUCAUCAGAGUAAACAUCCUACAGGUUAUCGUUCCGUUAUUGUUAACAGUGGUCGUUAUCUUGCUGAUUGCGAUUCUUCGCAAUUUUCGUGGAGCAACGAGGACUGUCACACAGAUGCAGCAGAAAGAAAAAGAACCAGAAGAAAACGAUGAGCGGUUUGUAACAGCUGUGCGGAGACGGAGAGGAAGUAGACUUAGUCUUCCCUGCAUUUUGACGACUGGCUGAAUCAACACCUUGAAACAAAAUCAGGAAAAGAUCCUUUUUGAGAUCACACCGGACUUUGUUCGGCUUCUCACACAAACAUGACGAAGAGUUGUUACACGGAGAAAUAACGUUACUUACAAUUUGGUUGCAAUUGGACAGAGAUUCGAACCAGUGAGAUUGAAAUGAUUACUUCUAAAAAACUUGUUGCAAGGACUUGAAAUAAUUACUCUGAUCGUGAAAGUUAACGAUGGUCAUUACUUAUACGAUAUUGCGUUAUUAUUUUUCAAAAGGUAGCAAAAACUUGUAGAAGAAAAACUCGAUUUCUGCUUUUCAUCUUUAUUGGCUGUGGUAGUUUUAUUUUCUCGAGGUACUUACCAUGUAAGUGAAGAAAAAACUAUUGAUAAGAGUUAUGAAAUAACAUCAGCAUACUUCAUUUGUUAACUAUUUUAAACAAAAUAAAAUUUUCUCUGUGUCUAAAUAAAAUUAAUAAAAGUGUAAUCAUUAUGAAAAACAAUUACAGUAGUAAAACAAGAAGAAGCAUCAUUUUGUUCUUACCUUCAAGGAGCAUGCUAUCGAACAGAAAAGCUGCAAGGUAGAAAUAUUAAUUAACAAGUCUUACAGACUCAGUUUUUCCAUCAAAUGACAAUACUAUAUCAAAAAUGUCCAGACAAGGGUAACUAGUUUUAUUGAGUUUUUGGACAGAUUUCUUAUAAAGUUUCCUGUUACAUUUACAAUAUAUCCAAUAUGGGCUUUCCUUUAUUUUUGUUAAAAUCUUCAUUACAUGAAUCUAAAGUUUCAAACUUAUGGAUACAAUACUUUUGUAGUUCUUGUUUUGUAGCAGUGUCCAUUGUUUUGUAUUCUUAUGCUUUUCUGGUUUUUAUUUCUUAUAGAAUCCAUAGUUUUGCA